GACGAACGCUGGCGGCGUGCUUAACACAUGCAAGUCGAACGAAGAGCGAUGGAAGCUUGCUUCUAUCAAUCUUAGUGGCGAACGGGUGAGUAACGCGUAAUCAACCUGCCCUUCAGAGGGGGGCAACAGUUGGAAACGACUGCUAAUACCGCAUACGAUCUAAUCUCGGCAUCGAGGAUAGAUGAAAGGUGGCCUCUACAUGUAAGCUAUCACUGAAGGAGGGGAUUGCGUCUGAUUAGCUAGUUGGAGGGGUAACGGCCCACCAAGGCGAUGAUCAGUAGCCGGUCGGAGAGGAUGAACGGCCACAUUGGGACUGAGACACGGCCCAGACUCCUACGGGAGGCAGCAGUGGGGAAUCUUCCGCAAUGGACGAAAGUCUGACGGAGCAACGCCGCGUGAGUGAUGACGGCCGUCGGGUUGUAAAGCUCUGUUAAUCGGGACGAAAGGCCUUCUUGCGAAUAGUGAGAAGGAUUGACGGUACCGGAAUAGAAAGCCACGGCUAACUACGUG
rnacentral:rRNA from 1 species